CGUGAGGCCGUGCCAGAAGCUGAGGAAUGAGGGGGGAUGCAGGCGUUGAUGGGAUGUACUGGGCGUAAGGCGCACUUGGGCGGUUGGUUAGUUCGGAUGGUAAAUGCCCGUGGUCAACGUGGGAACUGCAUUCGAUACUGGCAGGUGAGAGUCUUGUAGAGGGGAGUAGAAUUCCAGGUGUAGCGGUGAACUGCGUAGAGGUCUGGAGGAAUACCGGUGACGAAGGCGGCCCCCUGGACAAAGACUGACGCUCAGGUGCGAAAGCGUGGGGAGCAAACAGGAUUAGAUACCCUAGUAGUC
rnacentral:rRNA from 1 species